rnacentral:rRNA from 1 species
CGCGGCCUAUCAGCUUGUUGGUGGGGUGAUGGCCUACCAAGGCGACGACGGGUAGCCGGCCUGAGAGGGCGACCGGCCACACUGGGACUGAGACACGGCCCAGACUCCUACGGGAGGCAGCAGUGGGGAAUAUUGCGCAAUGGGCGGAAGCCUGACGCAGCGACGCCGCGUGGGGGAUGACGGCCUUCGGGUUGUAAACCUCUUUCGCCUGGGACGAAGCGCAAGUGACGGUACCUGGAUAAGAAGCACCGGCCAACUACGUGCCAGCAGCCGCGGUAAUACGUAGGGUGCGAGCGUUGUCCGGAAUUAUUGGGCGUAAAGAGCUCGUAGGCGGUCUGUCGCGUCGGUCGUGAAAACUUGGGGCUUAACCCUGAGCUUGCGGUCGAUACGGGCAUGACUGGAGUUCGGCAGGGGAGACUGGAAUUCCUGGUGUAGCGGUGAAAUGCGCAGAUAUCAGGAGGAACACCGGUGGCGAAGGCGGGUCUCUGGGCCGAUACUGACGCUGAGGAGCGAAAGCGUGGGGAGUGAACAGGAUUAAAUACCCUGGUAGUCCACGCCGUAAACGGUGGGCGCUAGGUGUGGGGGCCAUUCCACGGUCUCUGUGCCGCAGCUAACGCAUUAAGCGCCCCGCCUGGGGAGUACGG